UACGUAGGGUCCGAGCGUUGUCCGGAGUUACUGGGCGUAAAGCGCGCGCAGGCGGCGGUGUUGGCCCGGCGUGAAAGCCCCCGGCUCAACCGGGGAGAGUCGUCGGGGACCGCACCGCUUGAGGGCGGUAGGGGCUGGUGGAAUGCCUGGUGUAGUGGUGAAAUGCGUAGAGAUUGGGAAGAACACCAGUGGCGAAGGCGGCUCACUGGCCCGGUACUGACGCUGAGGUGCGAAAGCG
rnacentral:rRNA from 1 species